GGAAAGAUGCCGGAGUGGUCGAACGGGCCGCACUCGAAAUGCGGUGAGCGGGUAACCGCUCCCGGGUUCGAAUCCCAGUCUUUCCG
rnacentral:tRNA from 1 species